AACGCACCUUGCGCUCCUUGGUAUUCCGAGGAGCAUGCCUGUUUGAGUGUCAUUAAAUUCUCAAUCUCUACAACUUUGUUGUUUAGUGGAUUGGAUGUGGGGGUUUCUGUGGGUGUUUAAGUACAUUCCACUCCCCUGAAAUGAAUUAGCUGGAAUGCCUCGGCAAGUCCAACUAUCAGUGUGAUAAAUAUCUACUGUGGUUGUUGCAUGAGAGGGUAUCUGCUUCUCAACUGUCGCAAGACAACUUGAAUCAUUUUGACCUCAAAUCAGGUAGGACUACCCGCUGAACUUAA
rnacentral:misc_RNA from 1 species